AGUCAACGCUGGCGGCGUGCCUAACACAUGCAAGUCGAGCGGUAACAGGUGUAGCAAUACAUGCUGACGAGCGGCGAACGGGUGAGUAAUGCUUUGGAAUCUUCCCAGUAGUGGGGAACAACCAGUCGAAAGAUUGGCUAAUACCGCAUACGUCUGUGAAGAGAAAGCGGGGGAUCGUAAGACCUCGCGCUAUUGGAUGAGCCAAAGUCGGAUUAGCUAGUUGGUGAGGUAAUGGCUCACCAAGGCGACAAUCCGUAGCUGGUCUGAGAGGACGACCAGCCACACCGGAACUGAGACACGGUCCGGACUCCUACGGGAGGCAGCAGUGGGGAAUAUUGGACAAUGGGGGAAACCCUGAUCCAGCGACGCCGCGUGUGUGAAGAAGGCCUGCGGGUUGUAAAGCACUUUUAGUGGGGACAAAAAGUCACGGGCUAACACCGCGUGAUCUUGAUUUAACUCACAGAAAAAGCACCGGCUAACUCUGUGCCAGCAGCCGCGGUAAUACAGAGGGUGCGAGCGUUAAUCGGAAUUACUGGGCGUAAAGCGCGCGUAGACGGUUUUGUAAGUCAGAUGUGAAAUCCCCGGGCUCAACCUGGGAACUGCAUUUGAAACUGCAUGGCUAGAGUAUCGAAGAGGGAAGUGGAAUUUCCGGUGUAGCGGUGAAAUGCGUAGAUAUCGGAAGGAACACCAGUGGCGAAAGCGACUUCCUGGUCGAAUACUGACGUUCAUGUGCGAAAGCGUGGGGAGCAAACAGGAUUAGAUACCCUGGUAGUCCACGCCAUAAACGAUGACAACUAGAUGUUGGGAGGGUCUGCCUCUCGGUGUCGCAGCUAACGCGUUAAGUUGUCCGCCUGGGGAGUACGGCCGCAAGGUUG
rnacentral:rRNA from 1 species